CUCGUCGUUCAAUCCCAAAUCCCCUACAGAGCAGCAGUCCCAACGCUGGCGGCGGCGGCCCAUAUCCCUCCUCAAGCUGGGCGAGUUCAGAAAAUCUCCGAUGGCUGCUGGCCGUCGUAUCGCCGACGGUGCAGUUUGAGUCGGUUCGUCGCCUCCUCUCUCUCUCAGGCACAUCAGCUCGUGACCUUCUCCCCCUCGUUAGCGGCAAGCCGGUGAUGAGCUCCUCGGGUCCUUCCCAACCGCCCAAUGCGACUUGCUAGGUAGAUUGAAUUGAUCAAGUGUAUAAGAGUACAUGGAGGUUAAAACUCCCACGUAGAAGCAGGAAUGCCAGCAGAUGAAGAUCGAUUAACAGGAACCACCAAAACAGGACACAAAUUAUACUCAUAGAUCUUUUCUGUUAUGUACUAUCAAGAUGCUUGUUGGACAGUGGUAGUUUCAGUCCUUUAAACUGGGUCCUGUUGGCCAUGUACUAAAAGCAAUCUAUGUAUAUCUCUUGUGUUGUAUUCUCAUGUACUCAAAUACUCAAAUGCUUGCUGCGCGGUGAUAGUUCCAGU